rnacentral:rRNA from 1 species
UACGGAGGGAGCUAGCGUUGUUCGGAAUUACUGGGCGUAAAGGGCGCGUAGGCGGCCUUCUAAGUCGAACGUGAAAUCCCCGGGCUUAACCUGGGAACUGCGUCGGAUACUGGAUGGCUUGAAUCCGGGAGAGGGAUGCAGAAUUCCAGGUGUAGCGGUGAAAUGCGUAGAUAUCUGGAGGAAUACCGGUGGCGAAGGCGGCAUCCUGGACCGGCAUUGACGCUGAACGGCGAAAGCUAGGGGAGCAAACGGG